CACGUAGGGCGCAAGCGUUGUCCGGAAUUAUUGGGCGUAAAGAGCUCGUAGGCGGACUGUCACGUCUGCUGUGAAAAGCUGGGGCUUAACCCUGGCCUUGCAGUGGAUACGGGCAGACUAGAGGUAGGUAGGGGAGAAUGGAAUUCCCGGUGUAGCGGUGAAAUGCGCAGAUAUCGGGAGGAACACCGGUGGCGAAGGCGGUUCUCUGGGCCUUACCUGACGCUGAGGCACGAAAGCGUGGGGAGCAAACAGG
rnacentral:rRNA from 1 species